UUAAAGGGAAUGAAAAUGGAAAUAGAACAAAUAUUAACAAAUAAAACUGGUUUACUGGAUCAGAAUGAAUCAUUAACAGAUAUUAAGAGAGAAAUAGCUGAACUACAAGAACAGAUAUCAGUAAUGAGUGUACAUAUACUAAAUAAAAGAGAA